AGUGAGAUACCUGGGUCAAAUGGUGGUUCUAUUCCUAGUGUUUUGAGGAAUCUCCAUACUGCUUUCCAUAGUGGUUGCACCAAUUUGCAGUCCCACCAGUAAU
rnacentral:pre_miRNA from 1 species